rnacentral:rRNA from 1 species
UACGUAGGUCCCGAGCGUUGUCCGGAUUUAUUGGGCGUAAAGCGAGCGCAGGUGGUUUAUUAAGUCUGAUGUGAAAGCCUUCGGCUUAACCGGAGUAGUGCAUUGGAAACUGGGAGACUUGAGUGCAGAAGAGGAGAGUGGAACUCCAUGUGUAGCGGUGAAAUGCGUAGAUAUAUGGAAGAACACCAGUGGCGAAAGCGGCUCUCUAGCCUGUAACUGACACUGAGGCUCGAAAGCGUGGGGAGCAAACAGG